AUGGCGCUGCCCAGCAGGCUCCGGCGCUGCCCUGGGCCGGUCCGCGCCUUCUCCGCUCAUCUCCUGGCGGCGACUGCCAGACCCGGCCGGGCCGAGCUGGAGCCGCGGGGCCCGGCUGCCCUGACCGGCGCCCGGCCCCCCGCGCGCUUCUGCGCCAGCGACGAGCCGAGCCGGCGGCGGGGUCCGCCGGGGGCGGGCGGCGGCCGGAGCGUGGUGGUGGUGGGGAUCCCCAACCCCUUCAUCUGGGUCCGCACCAGACUCUACUGCUUCCUCAUCCGGGCCUACUUCGACCAGGAGUUCAGCGUCGAGGAGUUCACCCAGGGGGCCAAGCAGGCCUUUGCUCUUGUUUCAAAGCUGCUUUCUCAAUGUAAACUUGAUCAGAUGGAGGAAUUUGUAUCAAAAGAGGUACUUCAGGUGUUGGAGGAGAAGCUUUCUUCAUUGUCUGAAAACCACAGGAAUGCCCUGGCUGCUGACAUGGAUGAAAUAAUGUAUACAACACCAGGAGAUGUUGGUAUUUACUACGAUGACAGUGGAAGAAAGUUUGUUAGUAUCCUGAUGCGCUUCUGGUAUCUAACUAGCACUGACCUCCCUGAUGAGGCUCCAGAUGGAACCAAAGUUUUCCAGAUUGUAUUUGGAGAUGAAACUGUGAAAGAAACUAAACGUCUUCUAACAGCAAACUAUGAAGGUCAAGGAACAGAUGGGCAGAGAGACUUCAAAGCACCCAUCACCCAUCAAAGCUAGGUGUCUAGGGAUGGUUCUGCCCAGGCCAGGAUUGGAACACACUUGAAGGACAAUAUGGAUUACACUGCUGCUGCCCUUGCUGUUCUGUGUGUGAUUUAGGCAUACAAAUGCUGUGUUAACACACUAGAAACUGAAGGCUUCACAUAAAAUACCUAUGAAAAGACCUUACCAACUUGGAAAUGCAGGUUCCGAAGGGAAUUUACACAAGGAGUGAAGGCAGACUGGACUAUUACACGGAUUGAGCAUCCAAAGCUAUUAGAAUAAAUUUCUUGUACAAUGACUUUUAUGGACCCUUAUAAAUCCUCUGGCAUACCAAGUGUCCAGCUUUUUUGGUCUCCCCACAACGAUCUCUUUUAAGGAUUAAUUUUAUAUUUUUUAAUUCCCAGAAUACUUCUGAAUUUAUCCUAGACAGUAUAUUUCUCUGAAAGCAUAACAAUAAAGCCUUUUCCAUGAGUCUCUGAAGUUACGAAAUACAAAUUUAAUUUGUAAUAGUUAUCAGAGACGUUUGCAUAGUAAUUGGGUUACAGGCCAGAGUUACAGAUAUAUUGAUCUGUUACAUUCUCAGAAGAAAUCUUGGUACUAAUAGGAUACAAUAUGUAUAAAACAAAAGAUGCAGUUUUAACUGGCAACCCUUCUGAAUAAUACCACUUAAUUUAUUAUGGGUAUUUCCCCAAAGAUAUAAUGUACAGUAGUUAAAACAGAAUGUUUGAAGGAGGUGGGUACAGUUAUAUACACUUCCUAUCUAGUUUGAUGACAGCAAUAUAUUUGCGUAAUUCCAGUCUUGAAUUGAUUAAUUGGAAGUCAAGAAAAUUAAAACUAGAUUCUAAAAAGUGUACGUUCUUGACUCCAGUCUAAGCUGUCACAGACAUAUAACAUUCUACUAUGAAAGUGAUACAGAAAAAUUGUUUUGGUAUUCUGAUUAAGUAACAAAAGUGACAAAAUUCCUUCAGACUGAAGAACCUGGACAGUUCCAAAUUUGGGUAUUUGGAACAAAACUUAAUCCAAAACAUGAAACUAAAGUUGAAGCUGGGGCACUGUGUCAAAUCAAGCCCUGGCAAACUGGAAGGCUUGCCAUCAAAAAAACCAAAAAUAAUUAAAAACAUUGGGGCACUGUGAACCAGAAGCUCUUGAGUUUCACUCUCAACUCUGCCACAGAUUUGCAUUGUAGCUUGGUUAUAAUCUGCCUUUAAUAUCUCUGGGCCGAAUUCAACCCUGCUCUAAGUAGCUGUAACUUUCAUGGAGUUCAGUAGGAAUUCCUGGCAGGAGCAUCUGACUUCCUCUGUAAAAGGAGGGGCGCUAUUAAUCUACCUCACAAGAGGUGUUCUGAGGAUUAACUCAGGAUACAGCAUUUUGAAGGUGUUAAGUGCCAAGUAUUAUUACUGUAUGCAAUGUUGUUGUAGCCAUGUCUGUCCCAGCAUAGGAGAAAGACAAGGUGGCUGAGGUAAUAUCCUUUAUUGGACCAACUUCUCUUGGUGAGAGAGACAAGCUGUCAAGCUUAGACAGAGCUCUUCACCUCUAUAGCUCUGUAAACUUGAAAGCUUGUCUGUCACCAACAGAAGUUGGGUCCAAUAAAAGAUAUUACCUCACCCACCUUGUGUUUCAAGUAUUCUUACUGUGUGAGUCAUAGGUGUUGGAGUUAGAGCACCACAACAAUUGUAACAUACGUCUUCCUCAGUCAAUCUGGGGUUAUAAAAAGGAUUCAUGGCAAUAACACGUAGUUAGGAUUCAUCAACAAGCUGUUUUAACAUUCUGGGAGACUAAAUGAGAGCAAAAUACUUUGGUUGUCAGCCCCCAGAUUUUGUACUUGAGAAUUCUUGUUGUCUCAACUCUUGAAUAAUGUUGACCGAUAACAGCACUUCCUGUCUUAACGGGAGAAGACCUGAGAUUUUGUAUUUAAAUAUAUAUAGUCAACUUUUAUAACUUGGGUGUGAGAAACUUUGAGGCAGAUUAAAAACUGUUCAUGGCCCUUUA